AAAAUUAAAAGAAUUGUUGUUUUAGUUUGUUUUCCAUCGUUUUCAAAUAAACAUGUUUUGUUACAUCUUAUAUUUCAGGACAAUGUUCAGAUUAUGAAGGAUAUGAAUUUGGAUGUUUACAAAUUUUACAUGAUGGAAAGCUAAGUGGAGGUAUAAACCAAGAAGGAAUUGACUCUUACAACAACCUUAUCAAUAAGGUAUUGCAAAUGGAACAUAACCCUAUUUGGCCACACAUCACCAACUUGUUGCUCAUGCAGCUGUGGUUAAUGUGUACAGAACUAAGUAUCAGAGCUUGAUCUGUCAUGGAGAAAGGUGCAAGUAGGAAAUAGAGAGAAGGAAAGGAGAAGUGCAAGAGGCAUUGCUUGAGGCCAUAGGCGCUAGUCGACCAUGGCGAAGAAGCAAUUACAAAAUGCAGAAGUAAUUUUUGUAGGUGUUUGUAUGACAUUGGAGUUGGCUAAGUUUGGAAAACUCUUCAUCACUUUCAUUGUAAAUGUUUCUGACAUAGUGCCAACUACUUAAGUUUAAGUUUGAUUAUUAUGAGUAUAUAUUAAAAUUUUGAUUAUUGAAUAGAUAAAUAUUGUAAG